rnacentral:lncRNA from 1 species
CAAUUUUGCCGGGUAGCUCAGUAUGAAAAAACCUUUUUCGCUCUCCUAAAUAUAAAAAGGUGUACCAGUAUAGGUUGAAUUUGUCAGUUGCUUUAGCUCAUACCCAGAAACAGCUGGCCUGCCAUUAUGCAGUAAUUUAUACCGCCAACAUCAGCACAGUCUCUCUUCAGAUCACAGAACAUAGGCAUUACUGAGCAGAAAAGGAGAAUAAUUUUGCACCAAUACUAGUUCCCUAAAUCAUUUCAACAUGACUAGUGUCUCGAAAACAUUGAAAUACAUUGAUAUUGAAAA